CAAAGUGCUGGGAUUACAGGUGUGAGCCACUGCGGCUGGCCUAAAAGCUCAUGUCCUUUAAUUGUCAUACUACUCUACAGGGUAGAUGCUGUUACUAUAAACCCAUUUUAUUGAUGAAGAAACUGAGGCUCAGUGAGGGGGCACUGAGCUGCCCAAGGUCUCAAGAUGUUGGAGGAGGAUGGUGGAGGAGGGUGGCUCCCCCAGCAGUGUCCAGGGAGUGAUUUUCCUGCUGGUCACAGGUUCCCACAGGUAAGAAGCCAGGUGUGGUUCCCGUGUCUGCUCUCCGCAGCCCUCCUGGGAGGGUUUGAAGAGACAGCUGAGAGCGGCCAGCUGGGAAGAGCACGCUUGCCUUGUCAGCGGAGAGUAGGUUCUGAGCUCUGCUGAGUCAGCGUGGCCAGGCAGGGCUGGGGGGCCUCAGGGCUCCAGGCCCCACCUCUUACCUCUACAGUCUCCCACCCCGGCUGCCUGCCCCAGCCGGUCAAAAUGGUAGGUGCCUGCUGCCUGCUUUCCCAAGUAAGCCCCAAAUUAUCAACUGCACCAACUGUGAACCCCAACAUAUAUUUAUCAUCCCUGCCUCCCAGGCACUCAGCCGGGUCUCAUUGGUUAUUGCAGUCAUCCCAGGAGGGAAGUGGGGGAGGGAGGAGAUGGCUGGG
rnacentral:lncRNA from 10 species